rnacentral:rRNA from 1 species
GUGGGGAAUAUUGGACAAUGGGCGAAAGCCUGAUCCAGCCAUGCCGCGUGUGUGAAGAAGGUCUUCGGAUUGUAAAGCACUUUAAGUUGGGAGGAAGGGCAGUAAGUUAAUACCUUGCUGUUUUGACGUUACCGACAGAAUAAGCACCGGCUAACUUCGUGCCAGCAGCCGCGGUAAUACGAAGGGUGCAAGCGUUAAUCGGAAUUACUGGGCGUAAAGUGCGCGUAGGUGGUUUUGUAAGUUGGAGGUGAAAUCUCCGGGCUCAACCUGGGAACUGCCUUCAAAACUUCAUGACUAGAGUACGGUAGAGGGUAGUGGAAUUUCCUGUGUAGCGGUGAAAUGCGUAGAUAUAGGAAGGAACACCAGUGGCGAAGGCGACUACCUGGACUGAUACUGACACUGAGGUGCGAAAGCGUGGGGAGCAAACAGGAUUAGAUACCCGGGUAGUCC